GAUGAACGCUGGCGGCGUGCCUAAUACAUGCAAGUCGAGCGAACAGACGAGGAGCUUGCUCCUCUGACGUUAGCGGCGGACGGGUGAGUAACACGUGGAUAACCUACCUAUAAGACUGGGAUAACUUCGGGAAACCGGAGCUAAUACCGGAUAAUAUAUUGAACCGCAUGGUUCAAUAGUGAAAGACGGUUUUGCUGUCACUUAUAGAUGGAUCCGCGCCGCAUUAGCUAGUUGGUAAGGUAACGGCUUACCAAGGCAACGAUGCGUAGCCGACCUGAGAGGGUGAUCGGCCACACUGGCACUGAGACACGGUCCAGACUCCUACGGGAGGCAGCAGUAGGGAAUCUUCCGCAAUGGGCGAAAGCCUGACGGAGCACCGCCGCGUGAGUGAUGAAGGUCUUCGGAUCGUAAAACUCUGUUAUUAGGGAAGAACAAAUGUGUAAGUAACUAUGCACGUCUUGACGGUACCUAAUCAGAAAGCCACGGCUAACUACGUG
rnacentral:rRNA from 1 species